rnacentral:misc_RNA from 1 species
GGAGGACUCUUUUCGUGUGGGGACUUCUCCCGUCGAUGGGUGGAAGAUUGCUGAUGAUGUCCCACCAACAACUACACCUGGUACUGUGGAGAGAUGGGUUAUCAAGGCUGAACAAUCCUUGAAUGUUUUCCUCGUGGAGUCGGUUAUCGUGAUCCUUGAUGCACUGUACAGAGAUCGCUAUUAUCCUAGAUUUUAUGUUUUGGAAACAAUUGCUCGAGUUCCUUAUUUUGCCUUUAUAUCUGUUCUACACCUUUUUGAGAGCUUUGGUUGGUGGAGAAAAUCAGAAUAUCUGAAAGUGCACUUUGCCGAAAGUUGGAAUGAGUUGCACCAUCUACUCAUCAUGGAGGAACUUGGUGGUAAUGCUUUCUGGUUUGACCGAUUUCUCGCUCAACACAUUGCCGUAUUUUACUACUUCAUGACGGUUGCCAUGUAUGCACUGAGUCCAAGAAUGGCAUAUCAUUUUUCCGAAUGUGUUGA